rnacentral:rRNA from 1 species
UACGAAGGGGGCUAGCGUUGCUCGGAAUGACUGGGCGUAAAGGGCGCGUAGGCGGCUUGCACCGUCAGAUGUGAAAUUCCUGGGCUUAACCUGGGGGCUGCAUUUGAUACGUGUGGGCUUGAGUGCGGAAGAGGGUCGUGGAAUUCCCAGUGUAGAGGUGAAAUUCGUAGAUAUUCGCAAGAACACCAGUGGCGAAGGCGGCUCACUGGCCCGGUACUGACGCUGAGGUGCGAAAGCGUGGGGAGCAAACAGGG